rnacentral:pre_miRNA from 1 species
GCAUGCAUUACCGGGUGAGUCUUCCUUGGCAGUGUUCGAAUCUGCAGUACUGGUCUGCAAUUGAUCGGUCAGUAUACCACUGCCAAAGGAGAUUUGCCCAGCAAUACAACU